GAAAGACUCUGCUGGGCCUGCAACCUAGA
rnacentral:sRNA from 1 species